CAUUUUCUCAUCUCGAAAUCAAAAGAAACCCUAGCACAUAUCGUUCUCUCGCGGUUAAAAAAAAGGGGAAAUUAAAAAAAAUUAAUUUAAAAAAUCGACAAAUCUGUUAGGGUUACAAAAAAAAUAACUCACAGUUUCUAACCCUAAUUAAUGUUUCAUGGGUGUGAUCUUUAUUGCUUGCUUCGAAAAAUUGAAGUAGCGGUGCGUUUGAUCCAGAUCUGAAAAUGCAUUAUGGAAUUUGAAAAUUGGGGGUUUUGUGUUUUAGUGUUUGGACUGAGGAAUUGUUGAUGGAAGAUAGAAUAGAAAAUUCCCAUGAGCCGGAAAUUUCUAAGAAAUCGAGAUCUUUGGAUCUCAAGAGUCUUUAUCAGUCUUCUAAAAGUUUAAAAGAGGCUGAAAUUAAGAACUUGAAGCGAAAAGGCGGUAAUGGUGUCGAUGAUAGUGAUCUCGAGAAGAGAAAAAAGAGUAAAAAAUCAGUUUCAGUGAGUAGUUUUCGGAAAGUUAAUGGUAAUGGGAGCAAGAGUUUAGAGGAAGUGUAUAAUGGGAGUUUGAAUUCAGGUUCGCAUGGUAGGAAGGACUUGAAGUCAGGGUUGUUGAAUCAGUUAGUGGAUAGUAGUAGUGGAUAUAGUAGGAUUUUACAAAGUCUAGAGGGUACUUUUUAUAAAAUUCCUAGACGGAAACGUGGUUUUGUGGGACGAAAAAAAGCUGAUAUUGAACUGCAAGUUGUGAAGCCUGUAGACGAGUCUAGUGAUAAAGUGGGAAUCUCUGAUCAGGUUGGUGAAUCAAUUGUCUCAGACACUGGCAAGGUGGUUGAGUCUUCAAAGCUCAAACAGAAGAGAGUUUCUGAUGAUCCUAAAGAAAACAGAAAUAUUGAAACGCUUUCAGGUAGGCAUAAUGAGGAACAAGAUAGGCAUACCGAUCAGUUGGUUGGUACAAGUGUUGUUUUGUCACCGAAGAGUACUGGUCAUUCUGUUAAAAAUAAUGGCGAUGCAUCUAAAAAAAAGUCAUUUAGGAAGCGUAGUAGAAAAAGGAAGGAUUUGAUACCUGAAGUUAAGAGUGCCAAUAAGGAGGUUGAGCCAUUGGUUGACACUAAUGCUGUGGUAGGUGAUGAUUUGCAUGAUGAUGAGGAGAACCUUGAAGAGAAUGCAGCAAGGAUGCUAUCAUCAAGAUUUGAUCCUAGUUGUACUGGAUUUCCUCCAAACAGCAAGGCCUCUCCGAAUGGUUUGUCCUUUUUGUUAUCAUCUGGCCGAGAAUUUGCCACCCAUGAAUCAAACUAUGUCUCAGGGUCCGAAUAUGCAUCUCUUGACGCUGCUGCUAGAGUAUUGAGACCAAGGAAAGAGCACAAAGUGAAGGGUGGCUCAAGAAAACGGCGCCAUUAUUAUGAAAUUUUGUCUGGGGAUUUGGAUGCAUACUGGGUGUUAAACCGGAGAAUCAAGGUCUUUUGGCCUCUGGACCAGAGUUGGUAUUAUGGCCUUAUUAGUGAUUAUGAUGACGUGACUAAGCUUCAUCACGUAAAAUAUGAUGAUCGGGAUGAGGAAUGGAUUAAUCUUCAAGAUGAGAGAUUCAAACUAUUGCUGCUUCCUAGUGAAGUUCCGGGUAAACCUCAGAGGAAAAGAUCUAGGACAAAAGAGAAGCUCUCGAAUGGGAAAAAGGAAAAAUUGGGUUCCAGCAAGGGGAAGAGAGACUCGAGUAACAAGGAUGAUAGCCACGUAGGGAACUACAUGGAUUCAGAGCCUAUUAUCUCUUGGUUGUCUCGAAGUACUAAUAGAGUCAAAUCUUCCUCUUUUCGGGCCUUAAAGAAGCAGAAAAUUUCUGGCUCGUCUUUGACUUCUUCUACACCAUUGAUUAGACAUGAGCAUUCAGAUGGUGAUUUUCUGAGUAGGGAUAAUAACAAUUUAUCUGGUAAUUCUGUCUUGCCAGUCAAGUUUACUCGUGAUGGGAGGACUGAGGCGCCUGAAAUGGAAAAAUUGAUUAGUCCAACAGAUAACAAGCAUCCUGUUGUUUAUUAUAGGAGGCGGUUUCGCAAUGCAAGUAAGCAGCCUCGUCAUGCAUCUCAAGACAAUCAUGUUUCUAUUGGUAUUGUUGAAUCUGAUACUUCUUUUGGCCCGUCUGUUGUUGCUUCUGGACCUUCCGGUAAGCAAGGUUUUCCUCUUGGAAGGGUGGAUCUUGAUAAGGCUGCUGAAGGAUUGCAUAGUGUAGGGUCUUUAUGGCUGACUGAUGUUAAAGGACUUCUGAAAUUAAAUACUGAAUUGGUAGGAUCAAGAGAGUUCAUAUUUGAGCUGAAGUUACCUGUUUUUUCUAUCCGUAGUUCAUUAUAUGGUGCAGAUCACACUUGGUUUUGUCAUGCUUUAGUGUUGCUUCAGCAUGGUACACUGAUGAGUGUAUGGCCAAGGGUCCAUUUGGAGAUGCUUUUUAUCGAUAAUAUAGUUGGAUUGAGGCUUCUCUUGUUUGAAGGUUGCUUGAAGCAGGCAAUAUCAUUUGUUUUGCAGGUUCUGGCUGUAUUUCAUCAACCCAUUGAGCAUGGGAAAUUUAUUGACUUGCAGCUACCGGUUACUUCGAUUAAGUGCAAAUUCUCUUGCGUCCAAGAUUUAAGGAAACAGCUCGUGUUUGCAUUCUACAACUUCUCUGAAGUGAAGAAUUCAAAGUGGAUGCAUCUGGACUCUAAGCUAAAAAGCCAAUGUUUACUCACUAAAAACCUACCCCUGUCAGAAUGUACAUAUGAUAAUGUAAAAGCACUUCAAAAUGGAGCUGGCCAGUUGCUUGAUUCAGCUGUUUGCAGAGUCUCCACCAGAAUUAAGGGCCCAAUAAAGAGGUUCAAGCAGUGUGUCAGCCUUGUUGGUGUCUCCAGAGAACCCAUUUAUGUAAAUAGUUCAUCUUCUUCUAAUUUUGACAAGUCCCGUGGAUGGUUCCCUCCAUUUGCUCUUUCUUUUGUUGCUGCGCCUACUUUCUUUCUGAGUUUGCAUCUAAAGCUGCUUAUGGAACAUAGUGCUACUCACAUCAGCUUUCAGGAUCAGAAUGCAUUAGAGCAUCCAGAAAAUUCUUGUAAUCUACUGGCAGAUGACUGCUACAGUGUAGAAGAUUGUGCAAAGAAACAUUCAGAGUGCACCCCUUAUAACAAUUCCAAGGCUUCUUCCAGGGAUGCAGAGUCUUAUGAGUUCCUAUCUUUUUCUAAAACAGAGCCACAAGCUGUUGGGAUUUCUAUUAAUAAUGCUGGAGAUGGGAUGAAGUCCUUGCUAAAGCAGCAAAAUGUCAAUAUCCAUACUCAACCUUCUGCUAUCUCCAAUGAUUCUGGAGAAUUUGGUGGAGAUGAUACUGUCUUGCCGCGGAAGUGGCAAUGUCAUCAUUCAGAGUCUAAACAAUGUGAUGUAUCACCAAAGGCAGUAGUUGAGCGAGUGGACUGCAGUACUGGUCCUCAUUCUAUUCUAAAUGGUAUUAGAGUUGAAAUUCCAUCGUGCAAUCAAUUUGAUAAGCAUAAUGAUAAGGAAUUACAUGGUGCUCAACAAUCUGCUGAUUUAUCUUGGAAUAUGAAUGGUGGCAUCAUUCCUAGUCCAAACCCUACUGCUCGCAGAAGUACCUGGCAUCGAAAUAGAAGUAAUUCAACAUCUUUUGGACACCAGGCACAUGGAUGGUCAAACGGAAGGGGUGACUUUCUCCAGAAUAAUUUUGGUAAUGGACCGAAGAAACCACGGACUCAGGUCUCAUAUGCAUUGCCUUUUGGAGGUUUUGAUUAUAGCGCAAAGCAUAAAGGCUAUCCACAGAAAGGAAUUUCACAUAAGCGAAUCAGGACAGCUAAUGAGAAGCGGUCAUCAGAUCUUUCUAGAGGUUCUGAAAGGAACUUUGAGGAGUUGUCUUGUGAAGCAAAUGUUUUGAUUACACUUGGUGACAGAGGGAUUAGAGUUUGUGGGGCACAAGUUGUAUUGGAGCUUUUCGAUCAUAAUGAGUGGAAGCUUGCAAUAAAACUUUCAGGGAUGACAAAGUAUUCGUACAAGGCACAUCAGUUUCUGCAGCCUGGCUCGACAAACCGGUAUACACAUGCUAUGAUGUGGAAAGGAGGAAAGGAGUGGAUUUUGGAGUUUCCUGACAGAAGUCAGUGGGCACUUUUCAAAGAGAUGCAUGAAGAGUGCUACAAUCGGAAUAUCCAUGCUGCAUCAGUUAAAAAUAUCCCAAUUCCUGGAGUUCGCUUGAUUGAGGAAGAUGAUGACAGUGGACUUGAAGUUCCAUUUGUUCGGCAUUUUUCUAAGUAUUUUCGGCAGGUUGAAACUGAUACCGAGAUGGCUUUGGAUCCAUCAAGGGUACUGUAUGACAUUGAUAGCGAUGAUGAGCAGUGGCUAUCCAACAAUAUAAUGCCUUCAGAAGUUCCUAACGGUAGUUUGCGGGAUAUCUCUGAGGAAAGUUUUGAGAAGACAAUGAAUAUGUUUGAGAGAUUUGCAUUUUCUCAACAACGUGACCAGUUCACAUCGGAUGAAAUAGAGGAGCUUAUGGCUGGAGUGGGCUCAAUGGAAGCAAUAAAAGCUGUUUAUGACUAUUGGCUGCAGAAGAGGCAGAGGAAGGGAAUGCCUUUAAUCCGUCAUCUACAGCCACCGCUAUGGGAAAGGUAUCAGCAACAAGUGAGGGAGUGGGAGCUAAAAAUGACAAAGUGUAACACCGCCAUCUCUCAUGGAUGUCGUGAUAAGGUUGCAUCAAUCGAGAAGCCUCCCAUGUAUGCUUUCUGCUUGAAGCCGCGGGGGUUGGAAGUGCCCAACAAGGGAUCUAAACAUAGGUCACAUAGAAAAAUUUCAGUUCCUGGGCAAAGGAAUACCUUAUCUGCAGAUCAUGACGGCUUCUAUGCUUAUGGAAGAAGAUUGAAUGGGUUUGCUUCAGGGGAUGACAAGGUUUUAUACCAAGGACAUUACUAUGAACCUUUUGACGAGUCUCCAUUGUCUCAGAUAUCACCAAGAACGUUUUCACCUCGGGAUGGAGGCGGCAAAGGAUAUUUUUCAAUGAGCAGUGAUAGGUACGAUAGAAGUCGCAUCCAGAAGCUUCACAGGAUCAAGUCAAGGAAACCUGGGGCUUAUGCCUUUCCUAAUGAUACUCAGAUGGUUCCUUCAUAUGAGGACAGAACUUUUGACAAGAGAAAUGGCUUUGACCGGUGGAAUAUCGGCUUCUCUGAGUGGCCAAGCCAGCGUAAUUACUACUUGGAUGGCCCUCUUAGCCAUGGUCAUGAACAGUUUGACAGUUCAGAUGUUGAGGAAUUCCGGUUACAUGAUGCUUCUGGUGAAGCACAAUAUGCACGUAAAUUGGCUAAAUUCAAGAGAGAAAAGGCUCAGAGAUUGCUUUAUAGAGCAGAUCUAGCUAUUCACAAGGCUGUGGUUGCCCUCAUGACUGCUGAGGCGAUCAAAGUUUCUUCUGAAGAUUUAACUAGUGAUGAUGGGUAGAAGGGGAAAAGCAAGAGAUAACAUGUGUAGAAAAUUUGCCAAGCCCUCCAGCUUCCAAUGUGAAGCCUAAGAUUUCAGUGUUAGUCUUCAAAGUUUUUGCUGGGGCAAUGUGGUGUGUCAUUUUCCCAUGAAGGCUGGCCUUUUUGUCAUUCACCAAUGCUUCCGGAUGAAGGGCUUUUAACAGGACUACUGUGGCAGGUAGAGGGGAGAAUUUUUUUUUGCUUCUGGCCCCUUUUGUCAUUGUCAUGGAAGUUUUGGUGUGAUUCCACAGUUCAUCUACAGGCUAGGUUUUUGUUCCCAGCAGCAGGAUCAUGUGCGAUUGACCCUGCAGUCUGGCUAUUUGAUGGUAUUGUUGUUGCCGCUUUUUGUGGUUGUGAUAAGGCCAUUACCCAGUAGUUUGCUGGUUGCUGAUAUUUUUUUUCUUUUUUGAAAUAACAAAAAUUGGAUAGAAUAAGUCCCGUUUCUGUUUCUAUCUUGAUGUAACAGCUGGUGUUUGUCAUGUAAUUAGAUUUUUGUUCUUUUUUUUCUUUUGACGAUCUAUCUCCCGUAUAUGACCCUCAUUUUUGCAAGCAUCGCUCCAAGUGUUUUGUUGUUAAUGAUGGUGGGUAUGAGUAGAAUAAUAUUUCAUGCUGGUGGAUCAACAUUGAAGUUGGUUCCUGCGGUAGACGUUGUAAUUUGAUUUCCAAAUGCAGUUGUAAUUUCAGGUUUUUGUUAUUGUCAUGACAACAGCACCUCAAUGGAGGCGAAUGUUAAUAUGUUAUUGAUUAAGCAUUCGGCAUUUUGUUUUAUGGUCA